rnacentral:rRNA from 1 species
GACGAACGCUGGCGGCGUGCCUAACACAUGCAAGUCGAACGAGUCCACCCUUCGGGGUGAGGCGAGUGGCGGACGGGUGAGUAACACGUGAGCAAUCUGUCCCUGUGCGGGGGACAACCCGGGGAAACUCGGGCUAAUACCGCAUGGGCGGUGACGAGGAUCUCGUUGCCGGAAAAGGUGGCCUCUUUACAAUGCUGCCGUGCAGGGAGGAGCUCGCGGGCUAUCAGCUAGCUGGUGCGGUAAUGGCGCACCAGGGCGACGACGGCUACGGGGUCUGAGAGGACGACCCCGCACAUUGGAACUGAGACACGGUCCAGACUCCCACGGGAGGCAGCAGUGGGGAAUUUGGGCAAUGGCCGAAAGGCUGACCCAGCGACGCCGCGUGUGGGAGGAAGCCCUUCGGGGUGUAAACCACUGUCAGGAGGGACGAAAGAGGGGGACGGGAAGUACCGUCUCCCAGUGACGGUACCUCCAAAGGAAGCACCGGCUAACUCUGUGCCAGCAGCCGCGGUAAUACAGGA